rnacentral:other from 1 species
AAUCCCCUGCCUGACGCGUGAUGGCGUAAACAAUGUGGAACCAACAUACUCACUCUGGGAACCGUAAAGACAAUGGUGAGCAAACCCUUAUGUACAGGGAAGCCUAAAGUUGUCGUAAGGUGCCCACCUGGAUAGACCAGGUUCAAUUGUCGAAACCACACGGUUAGGCGGGGGGCAA